UAAAUUUGAAUCUUUAGUGUACUUAGAAAUUUGACGACGUGAGCCAUGACCUAGAGGUUUAGUGACAGAAAGCGCUGAUGGAGCCCCUAACAGAGCCAGACGCUUCGAAAAGGCCAUCGACUAGUCUGUAAAUGAAAUGAAAUCAAACGAAAACGCUCUAGAGGAGACACAGAUUGAUUUGGGAAUCAAUCAGAGUGUCGAGGGCGUGAAGAGGGUUCGAUAAAGAAGACGACAGUUCUAU
rnacentral:lncRNA from 1 species